GGGGCUGUAGCUCAGUGGCAGAGCACUUGCCUAGCAUGCAUGAGGCACUGGGUUUGAUCCUCAGCACCA
rnacentral:tRNA from 1 species